rnacentral:rRNA from 1 species
AGAGUUUGAUCCUGGCUCAGAACGAACGCUGGCGGCGUGCCUAACACAUGCAAGUCGAACGGAAGUAAGRAGCUUGCUUUUUACUUUAGUGGCGCACGGGUGAGUAACGCGUGGAUAAUCUGCCUGAUGCUCUGGGAUAACAUCUCGAAAGGGGUGCUAAUACCGGAUAAGCCCACGGGAUCUUCGGAUCUUGCGGGAAAAGGAGGGGACCUUCGGGCCUUCCGACAUUAGAUGAGUCCGCGUCCCAUUAGCUAGUUGGUGGUGUAAUGGACCACCAAGGCGACGAUGGKUAGCUGGUCUGAGAGGAUGAUCAGCCACACUGGAACUGAGACACGGUCCAGACUCCUACGGGAGGCAGCAGUGGGGAAUUUUGCGCAAUGGGGGAAACCCUGACGCAGCAACGCCGCGUGAGUGAUGAAGGCCCUUGGGUCGUAAAGCUCUGACAGAGGGAAAGAAAUGUAGGGGAGCUAAUAUCUCCUUUACUUGACGGUACCCUCAAAGGAAGCACCGGCUAACUCCGUGCCAGCAGCCGCGGUAAUACGGGGGGUGCAAGCGUUGUUCGGAUUUAUUGGGCGUAAAGCGCGUGUAGGCGGUUUUGUAAGUCUGAUGUGAAAGCCCUGGGCUCAACCCGGGAAGUGCAUUGGAUACUGUAAGACUUGAAUACGGGAGAGGGCAGUGGAAUUCCUAGUGUAGGAGUGAAAUCCGUAGAUAUUAGGAGGAACACCGGUGGCGAAGGCGGCUGCCUGGACCGAUAUUGACGCUGAGACGCGAAAGCGUGGGUAGCAAACAGGAUUAGAUACCCUGGUAGUCC